GACUAUCUUUUUUCUUUUGACACAAAAGUAGACUAUAUUUGAGUUUCAAGUUGCCCGUCCAUGUAUAUUGGUGUUGAUUGCCACUUUCAACGAAAUUUCAGUCAUUUCAGUAGGUAUACUAGAAUAAUUACUUUCGGCACAAAAUAUUCCACUCAUUAUUGUAAUACACAAAAAUCCAAAAAACAAUAUCUAAAUUUCUAUGUUGAUUGUAUUUCAACCAAAGUGAAGUGCCAACUGAAAAGAAAAAUUAUUAAGAUUCAAUGAUUCUGGGUAUGGCUGGAAUAUUUUUUGAAAUUGAUAUUCAAAACUUCUCCAGCAAUGAUCACUUGGGACAAAUAUAACCAGUGGAAGGAAGAUAACGGGAUAUUUCUUUGGCGGCUGCUACAAAUCAUCCGACUUAUUUCCAAUGAAAAUCAGUCGGGUGUGUAUCCGUCCUAUCUGCCCCGUGAAGCCGUUAGAUGGGUCAACACACAAUCGCUUUCUUCUCUUCCACAUUCAGCAGAACGCAAACAUCAUGCACAGAAGCCGCCGUAGCACCGUCGUUCCGUCGCAGCAACCAGCUCGGCACCGACCGAUUUGUUGCUCCUGCCUGCAUCAUCGCCCUGCCGCGCAGCACCGCCAAACUCGCCACCGUCGAGUGCUGCGUUGAAGCAAGGGUGGCCACCGGCGACUGUUGUGUUGCAGCACGGGCGGCCGUCGUCGAGUGUUGCGUUGAAGCAAGGGCGGCCGCCGGCGAGUGAUGCGUUGAAGCACUGGCGGCCACCGACGAGUGUUGCGUUGAAGCAAGGGCUGCCGCGGCGAGUGCUGCGUUGAAGCAAGGGCGGCCGCCGGCGAGUGCUGCGUUGAAGCAAGGGCUGCCGCCGGCGAGUGUUGCGUUGCAGCAAGAAUCCGUCGCCGCCGCCGCCGAGAUCCAGUGGUUGCAUCGACUUGCUCGGCAACUCCAACCGCAGUAGACGGUACCAACGAUGCGGCCGCUCCCACCUUUGCAGCGCCGGUCACGGCUGCGUCGCCGGCAAGCUGUGCGGUUGCAACGUCGGCAACAUCAGACGCCGUUUCGCGCGAAUGCAGCAGGCCACGGUGUGUUGCGGCCGCCAGUUGCAGCACCCCCGGCGAGUUUCUCCGGCCACGAGCGGCUCACCCGGAGGCCUUGUAAGCGACGACGAGAUUCAAGAGAUAAGUCUGGAGCGGUUUGUGGUCAAGCGUGUGGUGUACGGGGAGAAAAGAGUUGUGUGGUGAGUGCUUCUCAGUUUGGAUAAGGAUGAGGGGUUGGGAGCUGUGAUGCGCGGGCCCGCAAGGACGCGUGGCGAGCGUUAGACGCGGCUUACGAUCGUAAUAGAUCAGCCGGAUGAUUUCAACACUUUUCCUAUUUCUUUGGCCAGUUUUCUGUCUUGAGGAGGCGAAUUAUGUUGGAAUAGUACGUGCCAAGUCAAUUUGUAAGAUCAUAUUGAAUGUUUACAGCCACGUAAGUUAACUCGUCUCCUUAAAUUGACCAUGAAAAGCCUUAUUUGACGGAAGUGCCUAGAAAUCAUCUAUCUGAGAUAUAAUUUGUCUCAUUCACCUAAAAAACAAAAACAAAUACAAAGUAGUAGUACAAUCCACGUCAGCACACACGCAUCUUAUAGUAUCACAUCCAAUGGCUAUAAAGGUGAAUGAGACAUAACAGAAACUCAGCUAGAUGAGUUCUAGCAAAACCGUUAUUUGACGACCGUGAACGCCAG
rnacentral:rRNA from 1 species